UACGAAGGGGGCUAGCGUUGUUCGGAAUCACUGGGCGUAAAGGGCGCGUAGGCGGGUUUCUAAGUCGGGGGUGAAAGCCUGUGGCUCAACCACAGAAUGGCCUUCGAUACUGGCAACCUUGAGACCGGAAGAGGUGAGUGGAACUGCGAGUGUAGAGGUGAAAUUCGUAGAUAUUCGCAAGAACACCAGUGGCGAAGGCGGCUCACUGGUCCGGGUCUGACGCUGAGGCGCGAAAGCGUGGGGAGCAAACAGG
rnacentral:rRNA from 1 species